UGGAGAAAAAAAGAGACCCUAGCCACAUUCGUCUCUCUUUCCUCUACUCUCUCUCUCUCCCUCCCCGCCGCCGCUGGUCGCCGUGUGCAUCUCGCUGACUCCCCACCCCACUCUGGCACAACACCGCCAUCACUUCCUUCCUUUCGUGUUCUUGUCGAGCAGCAGUCCGGUGUUGCGGUAACGGAAAGUGGAGCAGAAGCUGCGGCGAGUCGGCGACAGCAAGCUCGAUUGGAUUUGGUGCUGCGGAGGCUGCAUACGGUCCACCAGUCAGCCAAUAGUUGAAGCUCAAGGCCUGUGAGGUGUGGCGGCUGGACCAGGCCUCCCCGUCGCGAGCUCCACCCGAUCUUCUCAUCACCGACAGCGCUCCCAUGAGCAAGCGGCUACCCAAUCUCUCUAGAUCCAGUCAACACGGCGCUACCUGCUCGAGAUCUGGCAUCCUCAAGCAGCGGCUCGUCUGCAACUGAACACGAAGAAUUCCCUCCUGACCUCCUCCGGCAGCAUCUGUGGUGGUUCCUGAGGCAGGGAAAGGCAGCUAUGCAGUGCUGGCGACCACGAUGCGUAGCGGCAGCCUCCCUCCCUCCUUGCAAUGAGCGAUGGCCAGAGUUCUUCCACAGUCUCAUAGGAGGCAUCCCCUCGGAGCCAGUUAGAGCGGGUCUGCAUCUGAGGAUGCCCCGUGCUCCCAGCUAGCUCUUCCCAGCAGGCCGUGUGCAAUCGGCUGCUGGCGUUCAAGGGACAGGACACUUCGGCCGUGUCAGGGAGCGGCACCAGCGCGAUGGGCGCGACGGCCCCGGAACUCAUCCCCGCGGACAGGCGGACAGCAUGCUGCAUGCCCAGGCAAGUGGAUGAGCGUAGCUAGCUACUUUGAUGAUUUUUUUACCACCGUUUGUGUGCUAGAGUGUUGCAUGUGUUCAUGCCUGCGUUGCCUAUGUUCCACAGGCUGUGGUAAUCAAUUUGACAGCUGGUAAUUCAAGUAAAUUCCCCUAAAGAAAAGACGCCUUCUGCGAUAUGAUCACGGAAGCAAGCACAGGAAGCAAUGAUGGAAUAUCUAUCUUUCUUGUGUAUGAGUUUUUCAUUCCGAUUUAUCCACCCUGAGGCACAAUUAGCUAGCUUCUCGUUUGUUGUUCUUUAAGUUGUGGGCUAACUAUAGAAGACAAAUUUGUUUCCUGUCUUCAAAAAAACAGCUUUUGACAUACUUCCAUUUUUUUACCUUUUGUUUGUAACAACCACAAUGGUUCUUGAUGCUGUGGUUACAAAGCUGAAAGGCAUGGCACCAAUUAUUGUUUCUCAACUUGGCAUUUGAAGCUCAAGAGCUUAUCUGAAAUAUGAAUGCAGUCUUGUGCAGUUGUUCUAAAUUGCAUAUGAUUUUCCUGCAAA